rnacentral:lncRNA from 1 species
ACAAAUCCAUUUUUAGCUUUUACAGUCAACUAUGAUUUUUGUAUAUAUAUCAAAGUUCGUCUUCCUUUCUCCCAAAUCUUAUAAGUUCAUGCCUUAAAAGCCUAUUUGUUACACACCUACAUCGCUGUGAACAAAAUACCACACAAAACAAUACAUCAAGAAUAGAUAUGAUGAAUGGAAUGCAAAAUUGUGUUGAAUUAGCACCAAUAAUUACCGUUCCACAUAAAAUGUGUUCAAGUUCCCCAAAAUUAGACACCAUUGUUGAAGAAUACCCUAAGGGUUUUGGGGUUUUAAAAAGGAGCAUUUUAUUUGUUAUUCCAAUUUUGUUCUCUUUGAUAUCUUAUGUCAUUUUGUAUAGGCAAUAUUAAUAUUAGUCUUACGUUGAAAAAAUAUUUGCUUUUAUUACUUGGGUUUUGUGGUAUUCAAUUUUACCUUAGUUUGCAACUCAACCUUUAAAUUAUUAAAAAAAUUACCCCUAGUAUGCAAUUCAUUUAAAAUUUUAAAACAUUCAACUACAACCGAAGUUAUAUGCAAAAUAAUUCGACAAAUUUUACUAGAUUGAUGAGUAAAAAGAAAAAAAAAAAUUAUAGCACGACCAUGCAUUUUCACAGUCAAGCUUAAUCGAGGGGUCCAAAGAUAUCUCUUCAUUAAAAGAGCGAUAAAUUCAAUCUCGUUUAAUCAUUGUCAACUACAUAAUUCAUAACGUAUUCGAGUACAAACUUUAUAGUUAUCCAAUUAAAGAUAACAUUUGAUUAGGUUUAAGGAUCAAAACAAUCAAUUAUUUGAGAUUAUUUAUGACACAUGUGCAUGUAAUAAUCUCAAAAGGGGCUAGUCUAAUUCUUAUUCUCUAAUAAGAAAGUAUGAUUAUAAUUUAUGUCUCUACGUAUAAUCUUAAUUUAUUAUUGUUCCUACAAUGAUAAUCGAUUAGGGACAUUUAAAAUAUAGUAACAUAUUCAUCUAUAUUAUUAUACAAUGACACAAAUGAAUAAUAAUGAGAACAAUAACUUUUAUUAAAUAAUUAAACAAUAAACCAAUUAUCCAUAAAAUUAUUAUAGAUCACAAUAAUAAACCAACAAUUCUCCCACUUGCUCUAUACAUAAUCAACUAGGUAUCUAAUACCCAUGCCUCUAGUAUGAUAAUCAUGUUUUGACUGAGGAAGAGCCUUAGUCAAAGGAUCUGCUACAUUAUUAUCUGUAGGUACUUUGCAUAUUCACAUCUCCUCUUUCAACAAUAUCGCCUAAGUAUGUGUUUAGACCGUUGAUGUGAUCUAAGUUCCUUUGAUUGUGCAAUUGCCCCAUUGUUGUCACAGAGUAAGGCAAUAGAGUUUGCAAUAUUGGGAACAACUCCUAGAUCCCUAAUGAACUUUGUUAUCCAAAUAUCUUCCUUAGUUGCAUUCGAGGCAGCUAGGUCAUCACACCCCCCCGCCCCCGGGAUCACAUACUCUCAACCAAAGAGACAGCGUGACAUCAACUGACAUCAUUUAUCUUCUAAAUAACACCAAUUGACCUUGACUUCUGAACCUUUUGUAAUGCUAAACAACUUGAGUAAAUUAAAAACUUAUGGAGCAGAUACUAUGAUAAACACACUUGAAAUAAACUUCUUCACAUUAACUAAAAAUAAGUUUAGGCUAAACGCCAUUUCUUUGGAGACAACACAUUAAGCCAAAAGAAAUAUCCGAACUAAUCUAACCCAAAACAAAACUUAUGUACAUGACAUAUAUAAAUCUAGAAUUGACCACAACAACAAAAAUAUAAACAAGAUUUACACAGCAAACUUGGAGACAAUGGUUAGGCUCUAGGAUCACAAUCUCUUAUUGGAAAGUGGAAAACAUUUGGAAAGGGUGAGCUAAAAAGCCCACUGAGUGACGAUUUUGUAAAACAUGCUUUUUUUUAAAAAAUACACUUUAAAGAACUUCCUUGUGCUAAACUCUUUCAAUCUUUCAAAUACUCUUUUAUCUUUGUAUAUUCUAUACCAAGGAAACUCAGUCACGAUAGUAACUAGCUCGACUUAUCGUGCUUGAUUGAAUAAUUUUGAUCACAAUAGCAAAGCACCUUUGGUCUUACCAUUCUGCCAAAUCUUGGUCAAGAUAGUGACGCACAUUUGAUUUUACUAGCCUGCCAAAUCUCGGUAGUAGUUGGCUUGUGGUUAGCAAAGCCUCAUACCUCAGACUGUACACAUUGACCGUCGAAAACUCGAUAUAUAGAAUACCAUAAUUUUCUCUAGAAAAUCAUUCUCAUUAAACUCAUAGUUUUCAAGUAGCUUUCUAAAACAGUAAACAAUUUUAUUUCAAAAACUCAAGCUUGCUCAUGAAUCAUUACUUUCAAAUCUCAUUAAUAAAUACAUGCCUUUUCAAACUAAGCAUACUCAAGUACUUUUCAUAACAUGCUUUGCAAAUCAAAUCAUAAUCAGUAAAGCUUAGCAAUGAUUUCAAACAUAUUUAGAAUCAUCAUUUAGAAAUCAUUUUGUCACUCAUAGAUGGUAGAUUAAACCAUUGACUUAUAAAUUUGUCUGAUCUCCUAUUGACCUGAAUUAAUGAGAAAUAAUUUCAUUUAAUUCUAUUUAAUCCUAAAAAUAUCAAAAUACUACUUAAAAAUUGCAAAAAUAUAUAAAAAAAAAAACAACAAAAAAAUGCCUUUUAGUAUUUGUUGGCACAUGAGGAUGGACGCUAGGGGGGCUGGCGUAUGCUGAUGGGUGGCAAGGGGGCUUUGCACUUGGCCUCCCUAUGUCAUGCCCAGAAGCUGGGUUCUUGGCUAGAAUCCUUCUUUCAACUUUGGAGGGUAAUGUCUCAAAAUUUAAAACUUAAAUGACAAAUCUUCUUUCUAAAAAGUUGCUUACAAAUGUCUUAAGUAACUUACCUCAAAAUGACAACUUCCAAAUCUAAGUUAUGUGUUCUAUAGCCUUCCAGAAGUGCACCUUGUUCAGAUUGCUCCAAAAAUUGAUCUCUCUCUCUUUUUUUAACUCAAACUUGAACCUUUUUUUACUCCAAUUUGUCUAGCAACCUAAGACUACAAAGUAUACUUAAUUUUUUGAGAUGUUUGUAUGGUCAUCACUUGACACCAUCUAUUUGGUUACUUUACACUUCUUACUAUCCUCUUUACACAUCACAUGCUUGGCUAAUGCUUGUCACUACUUACUUAGCUACUUGACACCACCUACUAACCUCUUUACAUCAUAUGCUUGCUUCACUCAAAGGCCUUGCAUGCCUUCACCUCCUACUUAAUAGCAACAAAAUUUUCUUGUCAUGACAUGCCUACUUCUUUUUACCACUAAACCUAUUCUUUUGAUAAUCUUCUUCCCUUUUUAAUCAAAGUUUCCAUCACUCUCCAAACAUGACACUCUUAUAAUGACCUACUUCCUAUGAAAUUUAGAAAAUAUUACUAAAAUGCCCUUUUUAACUGAGUCUUGAAAUACAAUUUCCUUUUCGUCCAAAUUACUAUACUUGUCUUAAAUAGGUUUUUACGAGCUCUUCGAUACAACUAUAAAUACUAAAAAUCUCAAUACAAAUUACUUUUCAAAUUUUCCUAAGUAAAUCCUUAAACUCCUUGGAAGUUGUGAAAAUUAAUGAAUUCCCUAAAUACGUAGGAAUCAGAGUUUACAUAUGUACUCAACUUUUGUAGUUAAUCCACUACAAGAAAUCGAGGCAUUCCUGAUGUUGAAAUGGAUAUCAGCGAAAAGUACGUUGGGAAUAUCCCACCAUUUCCAACAACGCUAGGCAAGUGUCAAUGGAGAUAUCCACUCCCAACAUCUAUGGUUAGAUAUCGGGAAUGGUCCACUAACCCCCAACGUCAAUGUUCAUAGGGUCAGAGAAAGAUAUAUUCUUAUUUUAAUUUUUAAUUUUUCCCAAAGCCAUGCUAACACACAUUGGGGAUGGUGUUAACCAUUCUCGAUGCCAUAAGUGAAAUGUUAGGAAUGGAGAGAACUUUACCUGAUGUUUGACUUUAUGUUAUUGGAAAUAGGGGAAUCUCCUGAUGUUUUCAAAGUGCGUUAGGAGAUGCCAUACAUAUUUGAGUUAUGUGUUCAUAGAAUAGAGAACUCAAAUCAAAAGGAAAAGAGGAAGAGGCCGAGAGAGAGAGAGAGAAAAAAAGAGAUUGUCUGCUCAUUGUCGUUGUCGCUAUUAGUGCCAGUGCGUUGUCAUCAUUAGUGGCCGCUAUCACCACUCUCUCUGUCACAACCUCUUAGUUGGAGGUAAUUAAAAGUUUAAAAUCCUAAAUAUAAACCUCUUUGCAAUUGUUCUUAAUUUCCUUUUCUACCAUUGGGUUUUUUUAUUUUAACUUUUCCAAUAUUUCUUUUUUAUUUCUGAUUUUGUUAUAUUCAAAAGUUUGGAAUGUCUUGUAAUCUCUCUUUAUGUUCUUGGCAAUAGUGGUGAGUUUAGAAGGUAAAAUAUGAUUUUAUUUUUCUUGUUGUUUACUUACUGCUUAGUAUGUCUUCAUGAUUUGAAUUUUUGCCUGAAUCCUUGUAUGUUUACGCUUGUUUGCACACAACAGCUACAAAAGAGGAGAAAGUUGAAGAAGAUGAUUAAAUAGAUGGUUACCCUAGGAAUGCAGAUGAUGACGAUGGGAAGGUUUUUUUUUUUUUAAAUGGAGGAUCUAGUGGUUACCCAAUAAACCAAUUCAUACACUAUGUCAAGGGAUCUUCGGACACUAUAUUUUUUUUAAAUAUUUUAGUGGCAAUUAGAGUAAUUUUUAUCUGUAAUUGCUCAGUGCAUGUAUCGAAUUCCUUCACAUUUAGAAUAUAAUAACAUAUUCAUGGGUAUUAUUAUACAAUAACAUGCAUUUGAAUAAUAACUUUUAUGAAAUAAUUAAUCAAUAAACCAAUUAUCCAUAAAAUUAUUGUAGAGCACAAUAAAAAACCAACAUAUCCUCCUUUAUGUUUUCUGUAUUUUUUUACUUUUUCAAGAAACCAAAAAAGGUGAUUUCAUCUCUUAGUUGUGGGAUCAAAGCAUCCAAUGCCUUAUUCUUCAAACUUAUGUGUGGUUGGACUCGAAUUUACUACUAAAACUACAAAGUAGUAUUGGUUGUUCGAUUGGUGUUAUAAGCUACUUGAUUGAUUGAAGGUCGUGGAAAUCCUUCGUCCAUCCAUUACUAAGGUUAAAUCCUUAUUUUAAUUUAUGUUUGGCAUAGUUGUCGUUUAAGGAUUUUAUUAAAUUCAAGGCUAUUAAAACACUAAUUUGUCGAGGUUUGUUGAGAAACGAAUUAAAGGUUAAUUUUUGUUUAUAUGUCAUAUCGAACUCGAGGUUAUGUAAGUCCAAAAGUUGAGUGUAGUCCAACAUUUUAGGUUGAAAUUUUUUAGACUUUAAAUCAACAUUCAACAUAAAAAUUGGAAACUAUAAAUAGUUUACCAUGCAUAAAACUCCUUUCCCCCCUAAAUAAGGAUUCUAAAAAGCUCCAACUAUUUCAUUAAUUUCUCGAGAGAUAUUGUGAUCAUUUUUCCACCCUUCAUUUUGGAACCUUGCCAACGAUGAUGAUAUAAAUCCAUUUUUAGCUUUUACAGCCACCUAUGAUUUUUGUAUAUAUAUCAAAGUUUAUCUUCCUUUCUCCCAAAUCUUAUAAGUUCUUUCCUUAAGAGCCUAUUUGUUAAACACUUACAUUGCUACCAACAAAAUACCACACAAAACAAAACCUCAACAAUAGACAUGGUGAAUGGAAUGCAAAAUUGUGUUGAAUUAGCACCAAUACUUACCGUUCCACGUAAAAGGUGUUCAAGUUUCCCAAAAUUAGACACCAUUCUUGAAGAAUAUCCUAAGGGUUUUGGGGUUUUAAAAAGGAGAAAUUUAUUUGUACUUCCAAUAAUUUUGUUCUCUUUUAUAUCUUAUGUCAUUUUGUUCAGACAAUAUUAAUAUCAGUCUUACGUUUAAAGAAUGUUUGCUAUUAUCAUUUGGCUUUUGUGGUAUUCAAUUUUUUCUUAGUUUGCAACUCAACCUUCAAGUUACUGAGAAAUUGGCCCUAGUAUACAAUUCAUUUAAAUAUUUAAAACAUGCAACUACACCCAAAGUUAUAAAUAGGAAAAAUAAUUCGACUAAUUUUACUAGAUUGAUGAGUUAAAUGAAAAAAAAAGGAAGAUUGAUAUGACAACCAAGAUUAUAAUUGAGUAAUAGGUAGAUGAACAAGUGAUUAAAGGUGGUAAUAGUUAAUAAAUAUUUACAUUAAAAGUAAAAUUGAUCCAACCAUUCAUAGAUAUAUCUUGUAGAACAAACGUGAAGUUUUUGGCGAUCUAACACAUGUCAACCAUUCAUAGAUAUAUCUUGUGGCAAAGUCCUUGGCCACCUAGCGACCUUCCUCGCCCAACAAGCUUUAUGCUAAUAACAAUUUGACUCUUCUCAUCUAGCUUCUACAUACUGCGUGAGUUGACAGUAGCCACUACCAAGUGAUGCUUCUGCAAAGACAUGACAGAAAAUCAAGGGUUAAAGUUCAACGUUGGAUGUCCUUCGCUACUUGGAGGGGGGAAUAAAACAAAACCUUUGAAAGGGUUAGACGAUAGUGAGUGGGAUUCUUUAUCAACACUUUUAUGAAUCAAAUUUUACCUUGACAAAUUACAAUCAUUUCGUUAAAUUAGUCUAUACAAAUACAUUGUGUUUCAAUAAUAGAUUAUAGAGUUUAAAGGAUAAGACAUCCCACACGAGAACAUACAGUAUGUAUGAAAAAUCUCAUCCAUAGGGUACAAAGAUCAUCUCAUUUCAUCAUUUCAACUCACAUCAAAACUUAUACUUUUAUAAAUAACAUGCAUUUUGAAACUAUAAUAGAAAUCAUAUAUCUCAAGGUUUUAAUGAAAACAUAUUGAAGGAUUUAAACACAUUGAAAAUCCUUUUUUGUUUUUGAAAAUAUUUGAAAGAAGAACCACUCACAAAUAAGUUAGCUUCUUUGUCUACUUCCUAGUCACGAACCUUCUGGCACUUUCUUGCAAUGCUUGCCAAAUUCAAGCUUAUAAAAAUCUCUAGAAAUCUUGGGAAUUCUAUCAAUUCUUUAUUAAAUUAGCAUAAGGUAAAAGCAGCUUCAGAAUAGCGUGGGGUCUUAUCGCCUAAAGGUAGAUUAUGAUCAAAGUCUCACAUACUAGAACACAAACAUGGUUAGCGCGAAUGUUAGAAAAGGACAAAAGGGAUGUCUAUGGCACAUACAACUUUAUCAUAGAAUUAAAUGAAGCCUAGACUAUGUCACGACUUAUCCUACCUUGCCUAUAAAUAGCAGUUGCAUCUUCAAGUCGAAGUGUGCAAAAACCUUCACCAAAGCGAAAGCUCUAACCUCCGUUCCCCUAAUUUGUUUUAAGUGAGAGCUUAGAAUAGAGAGAGAGAUCCUCUUUCUGCUUCCCCUUAGUAUAAAAGGCAAAAAUCAGAAACAAAGAGUAUGAAAGAUUAUACUCCGCCCCUUACCUCACUUCCGUGUAUCUGCAGUUGUAAUUAUAUUGUAUUAGUUUGUAAUGAAAACUCCCUAGCCAAAAGGCCUAAAGAUUUGAUUAUGAAUAUGAUGCAUUUCUACUUUCACUCUCCCAUUUUCUUAUCUUGCCACAUCACUUAAAUUUAAGUAAUCAUGUGUAAAUAAUGUAAGGCAUAAUGAAUACUAAAGAAUCUGGAUGUCUAUGUUACUUGUCUUGUUUAUUUAAAUGUGAUCAUGAAUUCCUUGUCCUAUUCAAGUGAAAAAAUGAAGUAUUAAUUAUUGUCACUUGAUGGGUGAUGACCUGAAUUUAGCUAAACAGGAGGUCAAAAGAUUGUAGCAAUAGAAUCUUGUCGUCGAACUCAUCCUUAGCAUACAUAUUAUAAAUGUGAGUGUGUGAUAUGCAAAGGCAACGAGAGGUCCCUCGCCUUAGUUUAGGAUGAGUUGCUUGUAUUUCAUUGAGAAUGAUUAGGUACAAAUCAUCUAUUAACUUUAAGUAUUUGGGUCUAGAAAGGCAAGAAAGUAUGACAAAGGCGUCGAGAGGUUGCUCGACUUAAUUUUAAAGUUAAUAAAUGUUUUUAUCACCUUGACAUGUUAAUUAUCCUUGAGUUUAACCUAAUUAGAUAAAUAUUUUGUUUAACCUAAUUAGAUAAAUAUUUUUGCAUGUCAGCGCCUAAUACUUUAGUUUGCAUUUCAUUUCAUUUCAUCGCCAUCUCCAUCUAGCUACUUCCUCACAUAUUAGUGUAAAUACAUAUGAUAAAAUUAUAUUGUUCACGCCCAUAUACUAUAUACAUAGCAUAAGGUUAGAACACAAGAUUAACCCUUUAGGUCACUGAAAGCCCUCAUAAAACACAUACUACAACAGAACAUAUAAAACCAUCAUGUCAAAAUUUUCUCUUGAAAAAUUACUCCCAAUUCUAGAGAACAGUUUUCUAAAAUUAUUCUUUUCUAUUCCCCUACCAUAUUUUAACAGAGGUUCUUACAAACUAGAUUCUUCAAGAGUCAUAAUAAAGAAGUUAUUGUACAAAAGGAAGGAUUUAAUGAGAAGAUUAUUGGUUGAUCAAGAAGUUCUUUUUGUAGUUACAUAUCGAUAAUAGUAAGUACAUUGACAAGAGAUCUACAAGUCAAGGCUAGUUUUCUUACUGACAAUUGUAUAAUUUUGGGCAAGUUCACUUUGAAGAAGAUUGGCAGUUCUGAUCUUCUGCAUGGGUUGUGUCUUCAAUCUGGGAAAUAUCUCAGCUACACAUUCAUCAAUAUGUGCUAUCACUAGUGAUAACAUUUUUUUGUGGCAUCAAAGACUUGGCCAUCCUUCUACUGACGCCUUGAAGUCAUUGCAAAACAAUUUACAUUUGAAAUCCUUUGCCUUUUCUCAUAAUUGUGCUACAUGUCCUUUAGCAAAACAGAGAAAACUCUCUUUUAUAUCAAAUAAUCAUCUGUCUUCCAACCCAUUUGAUCUUAUUCAUGUUGAUGUUUAGGGCCCUUUGUCCACUGCCUUUCAUGCUGGUUACUCUUAUUUCUUACCAUAGUUGAUGAUGCUACUCGUUUCACAUGGACUUUUAUGCUAAAACAAAAAACUGAUGUAAAGCUAGUCAUUCCUCAAUUUUCUAAACUUACUGAAACUCAAUAUGGCAAGCAAAUCAAACAAAUGUGUUCUGAUGCUGUCCUAGAGUUAAAGUUCAGUGAUUUCUUUAAGGAGAAAGGAGUCCUACAUCAAUUUUCAUGCACUAAUUAUCCUCAGUAGAAUUUUGUGGUAGAGAGAAAGCAUCAACAUAUACUUAGUACAAUCCGAGCAGUGUUCUUUCAGUCAGGUAUUCUCCUAAUCUUUUGGGGAGAAUGUAUACUAGUUGUCGUAUAUUUGAUCAACAGAGUUCCUUCAAGAAUGUUGAAUUGGAAGUCUCCAUUUCAACUACUCAACAACAGUCCCUAUGAUUACAAGAACUUAAAAGUGUUCGGAUCUCUAUGUUAUGCCUUCAAUUUGUCACAUAAUCACUUCAAAUGUCAACCAAGAGCAUCACCAGUUGUAUUUGUAGGUACCCCUAAGGUAUGAAAGCAUGAAAGCACAUAAACUAUACAUCAUUGAACAAUAGAAGUUUUUUAAUUCAAGAGAUAUUUUUCAUGAAGAUGUUUUUCCUUUAAAAAACACACCCACCCACAACCUAUGAAAGAUCCAUUGCCUGGUUUUUCCCCACCAAUGGCUUUUUAUGACGCUUUAAAUAUCCCUUCAGAUACAUCUCCCCUUUUCACAACCACAAGCCAUGACAAUAUCCUAGAGACCAUAAUUCAAUCCACAAAUAUUCCACCUUCACCAACCCAAUUACCCAUACUUGAAGAAAAUACCACUGAAAUUUUCAACAAUCCUCCAGUAAGAAGAUCCACCAGAGCCACCAAACAACCAUCCUACCUACAGGCCUACCAUUGUAAUCUCCUUGAAUCACAAUCCCAUACCAAAAUUCUACAAAAUAUCCUUUAAACCAAUACUUGUCAUACCAAACUCUUUCCCCUUCUUUUAGGCAUUCUAUCUUUUACGUUUCCACCCUACAUGAACCAUCCUUUUACCAUGAAGCUGUCAUUCAUGAGAGUUGGAGAAAGGCCAUGGAAGUUGAACUAAAAGCUACGGAGGCUAACAAUACAUGGAACAUUGUUCCAUUACCAAUCGAUAAGAAUAUUGUAGGAUGCCAAUGGAUAUAUAAAAUUAAGCAUAAAGUUGAUGGGACCGUUGAACAUUAUAAAGCAAGGCUUGUUGCUAAAGGGUAUAGACAACAUGAAGGUCUUGACUAUUUUGAAACCUUCUCUUUGGUAGCCAAAAUGGUUACUGUCAAAACUCUGUUGACUAUAGCAGUAUCAAAGGAUUGACACCUAGUUUAAUUACAUGUGAAUAAUGCUUUUGUUCAUGGAGACUUGAUUGAAGAAGUAUACAUAGAUAUGGCUCUUGGUUAUGAACCAAAGUUUGCCAUUCAGGGGGAGAAAAUGGUGUGCAAAAUUUUCACAUUUCCUCACUUCACUUGGUUGUCAACAGUCGAAGGCAGAUUACUCCCUAUUCGUAAAAGGCUAAGGUACUGAUUUUCUUGCAUUACUUGUCUAUGUUUAUGAUACUAUUAUUAGGGGAGCAAAUAUUAGUCUUAUCUGAAGCUUACAAAGCAUGCUCAAACAUAAGUUCUUACUUAAAGAUUUGAGGUCUCUCAAGUUCUUUCUUGGGCUUGAGUUAGCUCGGUCAUCAACUGGUAUUUAAUUUCUUUAUCACAAAGAUACUACACACUACGAUUAUUAGAAGAUGUUAGAUUGCUUGGUGCCAAACCAGUAAUAGUGCCAAUGGAUCCCUACAAUUAAACUAAAGAAUGCUGAGAAAAACUUCUUUCAAGACCCAACUGCAUAUCAGAGGCUUAUAGGUAAGUUACUAUACUUGACUAUUUCAAUGCCUGAUAUUACUUUUGGAGUACAUAAACUUAGUCAGUUCAUGGCACAUCCGGAUAGAACCCAUAUGAAUGCAGCAAACCACCUAUUAAGGUACAUCAAAGGGUCUUCAGGCCAAGGAAUUUUCUUGUCCAAGACAGAUGCUUUAUCUAUAAAAGCUUUUGUAGAUGCAAAUUGGGGAUCUUGUCCAGAUACUUGCCCUUCAUUCAGUGGUUUUUGUGUUUUCCUUCGCAAGUCUUUAAUUUCAUGAAAGUUAAAGAAAUAGCAAAGUGUUUCACAUUCAUCAGCUGAGGGAGAGUAUCGAGCAUUAGCAACAGUUACUUGUGAAGUCAUAUGGCUCAAGAGUUUGCUCAAAGAACUUCAGAUUUCAUUAGCCACACUAGCUUUUGUUUUUUGUGACAACCAAGCUGCCAUUUAUAUCGCUAACAAUCCCUUAUUUAAUUGAAGGACCAAACAUAUAGAACUUGACUGUCAUUUUGUUCGAGAUAAAGUAAUUGAUGGAUCCAUUAAACUGCUUCUUAUACGGUCGUCGAAUCAGCUUGUAGAUGCACUCACCAAGCCUCUAAAUUCCAAUACUUUGUCUCUUCAUUUACACGAGAUGGGAGUAAAAGAUAUAUACUCUCAAUCUCGAGGGAGAUUAUUAGAAGUAAUGUUGUUAAAAGAGUUUCUCUUAUUAGUUGUUACUAUUAGUUGUUAGUUGUUACUGUUAGUUACAUUCAAGUUAUCAACGAUAUCUAUAGAAAGUAUUAUAAAUAUCACUCUUUGUUAGUGAAUAAAAUAAGUGAAAGUAUGCUAUAGAAUAUGUACAAUAACUAGUUUGUUUAGGUUUGUUGAGAAAAUAUUAAUUAAAGGGUUAAUUUUUCUUUAUAUGUCAUAUAUAAUUCCAGGUUAUGUAAGUCCAAAAGUUGAGUGAUCACUAUUUUAGGUUGAAAUUUUGUAGGGCAUAACACUAUAAAUCAACAUUCAACGUACAAAUUUGAAACUAUAAAUAGUUGACAAUGCUUACUACUCUCCCUCUAAAUAAGGGUUCUAGAAAGCUACAAUCGUUUCUUUAAUUUCUCAAACAGAUGUUAUAACCGUUUUUACACCAUUCAUUUUGGAAUGUUGCCAACGAUGAUGAUUUAAAUCCUUUUUUAGCCAUUACAAUCACGUAUGAUUUCUCUUUAUAUAUUAAAGUUCGUCUUCCUUUCUCUCAAAUCAAACAAGUUCUUGCUUUAAAAGUCUAUUUGUUACACACCUGCAUCCCUGCUAACAAAUCACCACACAAAACAAUACCUAAAGAAUAGAUAUGGUGAAUGGAAUGCAAAAUUGUAUUGAAUUAGCACCAAUAAUUACUGUUUCACGUAAAAGGUGUUCAAGCUCCCCCAAAUUAGACACCAUUGUUGAAGAAUACCCCAAGUCUUUUGGGGUUUUAAAAAGGAGAAUUUUGUUUGUUCUUCCAAUUUUGUUCUCUUUUAUAUCUUAUGUCAUUUUGUUUAGGCAAUAUUAAUAUUAGUCUAAAGAAUAUUUGCUAUUUUCAUUUGGCUUUUGUGGUAUUCAAUUUUACCUUAGUUUGCAACUCAACCUUGAAGUUAUUAUGAAAUUGUCCCUAGUAUGCAAUUCAUUUAAAUUUUAAAACAUGAAACUACACCCAAAGUUAUAAAUAUGCAAAAAAAAAUUAGACAAGUUUUACAACAUUCGACAAAUUUCUAAAAAAUCGAGGGACCUUUACAUGAUCAUAUUAAAAAAAUUGUAAAUCUGUGGUCAACUUUUACAAAAUUUUACAAAAAACAUCCCAUUGCAAACCAUAUUCAUAAUGCAAAAAUCCCACCUAACUAAUGCAAAAUUUAAAAUUUGUAAUUAAAACUUGAGAUGACUUUGAUACCAAUUGAAGGGAUAGGCCCUUGGUAGCUGAAGAUUUUACUGAAUCAUUUCUCCAUUUAAUUUAGAAAUUCCAAACUACAGUACAUUGACAAAAAUAAUUAAGAAACUAAUUUUCUUAUUCAGCAUGCUUUAAUAAAAUAUAGAUUAGAAAAAGAAAAACUUACAUAGUUUGACGUCUCUGAAUCUACCAAAUCUCAAAAUUUGGUACACUAUCUAUCAGAGACCAUUCGUAUUCUCUAGAAUGAAAUUGGUUUAUGAGAACCAAUUAGGAUGAAAAAAUAUUUUUUCAGAUAGCAAAA